rnacentral:lncRNA from 1 species
GUUGUAUUGAUGAUGAUAUUUCGUCUAAAUCCAGUCUGCUCCCAUAAUCUGUAGUUUGAGUCCGGUAAUAUCCGGUCCUGGGUAGACCUUUCUUAUGUCAUCCAAUAGUUUCAGCAAUCGGUCCCCAUCCGUUUUAAGGCAGUUUAAAUUACGGUUUCUAUACAUGUAUUCACACAUGUAUUGGUGCAGUUGCUGGUUAUUUUGCCAUCGUUUAAUUGUUGUCUGCAAAAAACCAAUCAGCCUAUUUAUUGCAAUUUUUUUUUCUUGGUUUGCGAACAGGUACGUGUUGUUAGUUUACUUAAGAAAGUUGUGUUACCUUUAAGC